rnacentral:rRNA from 1 species
UACGGGGGGGGCAAGCGUUGUUCGGAAUUACUGGGCGUAAAGGGCUCGUAGGCGGCCAACUAAGUCAGGCGUGAAAUCCCUCGGCUUAACCGGGGAACUGCAUCUGAUACUGGAUGGCUUGAGUUCGGGAGAGGGAUGCGGAAUUCCAGGUGUAGCGGUGAAAUGCGUAGAUAUCGGGAGGAACACCUGUGGCGAAAGCGGCGCACUGGACCACAUCUGACGCUGAGGCGCGAAAGCUAGGGGAGCAAACAGG